AAACAUUUUAAAAAAAAAACAAAAAAACCUUUUAAAAAACUCUCUCAACCUUUCUGUCCUCCGGCCAUGGGCCGAUCAUCAGACGGUCAUCGGCCGGUCAUCAGCCACCGCGCCGGCCGCCGAUCUCCGGCGUCGUCACCACCGUCCACGGUGGCCGGAAAAAGUAAAAAAAAUUUCCUUUUCAACCUUCUUGACCCCUGAGCCUAGAUCCAGGCUCAAAUCCCAUGAAAAAUUAACAAAAAGGCCCCUAAAAGUAUAGAAACUUUUCGGCUUCCGGUCGUCAAUCCUCAAUGACGACUUCCUCGGCCAUCCGCGGCGAUUAAGGCUGGUGAAUCCAUGGAGAUUCGGCCAAGAUUGGGGUUGCGGCGGCUGGAGCUUUACUCAGAAACCCUAGGGUUUCUUCAUCUGUUUCGGGCUAUGUUUGUAACUGGGCCACCAAUUGAAAUUGGGCCAUGUAAUUUGUCUUGUAAUUGGGCUUAAAAAUAAUGGACUUUGUUUUAUUGUAGGCAGGGUAAAAAUUUGGGUAUUACAUAUUGCAUACACAAACCAUUAUAUUAAUCCAAUACAAAAAUAAAUGUAUGUAUUCCUUUUUUUUAAAUGUACAUCUGAAUCAAAAUCAAAGUUUCAUGUA